UUACAAUAUCCCUAUUUUGAUUUGGCUAUUGAUUUGAUUUUGUUUUAUUAAUAAUAAUGAGUGUUUUCUGAUGUGGGUUUUUGUUUUCGAAGGCUGUUGUGAAGGUUAUAUAUGAAUCUGGAGAAGAGGAGCAUAGAUUUGUUGAGGAAUGGAUAGUAUUAAAUCUGAAGAAGAGGAGGUUAUUGAUGUUGUAUUCGUUAAGCAGAAGAAGAGGAGGUUAUUCAUGUUUUUGCAAUCUUAGUGUUAUUGAUGCUGUAUUUCUUGAGCUUACUAGGGAAUCUCUACUGCGAAAUUGGUUCAUUGAUAUUCCAUGGUGGCGAAGUUUUAAUUUACAGUAUCAAGAUGGUGAAGUUUACAGCUGAAGAGCUUAGUCGGAUCAUGGACCUAUAGUGUAAUGUCAGGAACACGUCCCUCUUUGCCCAUUUGGACCAUGGUAAUGCAACUGUAUGGUAUUGUUGCUACAUUUUGAUUAAUACGGAGUUUAGGUUUGUCUCAAACUCAAACGCUAAACCAGAAAUCGUUGAAGAUUCAAAACAAGAAAACAACGAGAAAUGGUACAAUUGUCUAAAAAGGGGGUUGGAAACGAUCUGCAAAAUUAUAUGAAAGGGAUUGUGGAGCUCACAAGAGGAUGCUAUACAACAGAUAUUUUGUUACUGCUG